rnacentral:rRNA from 1 species
GACGAACGCUGGCGGCGUGCUUAACACAUGCAAGUCGAACGGAAAGGCCCUGCUUUUGUGGGGUGCUCGAGUGGCGAACGGGUGAGUAACACGUAAGUAACCUGCCCUUGACUUUGGGAUAACUUCAGGAAACUGGGGCUAAUACCGGAUAGGAGCUCCUGCUGCAUGGUGGGGGUUGGAAAGUUUCGGCGGUUGGGGAUGGACUCGCGGCUUAUCAGCUUGUUGGUGGGGUAGUGGCUUACCAAGGCUUUGACGGGUAGCCGGCCUGAGAGGGUGACCGGCCACAUUGGGACUGAGAUACGGCCCAGACUCCUACGGGAGGCAGCAGUGGGGAAUAUUGCACAAUGGGCGGAAGCCUGAUGCAGCAACGCCGCGUGCGGGAUGACGGCCUUCGGGUUGUAAACCGCUUUCGCCUGUGACGAAGCGUGAGUGACGGUAAUGGGUAAAGAAGCACCGGCUAACUAUGG